UAGAAAGUAGUAUAAAGGAAUUACGAAGAACUUUGACUUCUUUAAUAUAAGUUCAAAUCUUAUCUUUCUAA
rnacentral:tRNA from 1 species